UACGGGGGGGGGCAAGCGUUGUUCGGAAUUACUGGGCGUAAAGCGUGCGCAGGCGGCGCCGCAAGUCGAGUGUGAAAUCCCCGAGCUUAACUUGGGAAUUGCGCUCGAAACUACGGUGCUGGAGUGUGGCAGAGGGAGGUGGAAUUCCCGGUGUAGUGGUGAAAUGCGUAGAGAUCGGGAGGAACACAGUGGCGAAGGCGGCCACCUGGACCAGCACUGACACUGAGGCACGAAAGCGUGGGGAGCAAACGGAUU
rnacentral:rRNA from 1 species